GUGGCGCAAUUGGUUAGCGCGUUCGGCUGUUAACCGAAAGGUUGCUGGUUCAAGCCCAGCCAGGGACG
rnacentral:tRNA from 1 species